GAAUUUUCCGCAAUGGGCGAAAGCCUGACGGAGCAACGCCGCGUGGGGGAUGACGCUUUUCGGAGUGUAAACCCCUUUUCUCAGGGAUGAAUAAAAUGACAGUACCUGAGGAAGAAGGCCCGGCUAACUACGUGCCAGCAGCCGCGGUAAUACGUAGGGGUCGAGCGUUGUCCGGAGUUACUGGGCGUAAAGCGCGCGCAGGCGGCGCGAUAAGACCGGCGUGAAAGCCCCCGGCUCAACCGGGGAGGGUCGUUGGUGACUGUCGCGCUUGAAGGCAGCAGGGGUGAGUGGAAUUCCCGGUGUAGUGGUGAAAUGCGUAGAGAUCGGGAGGAACACCCGUGGCGAAGGCGGCUCACUGGGCUGACCUUGACGCUGAGGCGCGAAGGCGUGGGGAGCGAACGG
rnacentral:rRNA from 1 species